UACGUAGGUGGCGAGCGUUGUCCGGAUUUACUGGGCGUAAAGAGCGCGCAGGCGGCUGGUCAAGUCCGAUGUGAAAGCUCCCGGCUUAACUGGGAAAUUGCAUCGGAAACUGAUCGGCUGGAAGGUGGGAGAGGGUAGCGGAAUUCCCGGUGUAGUGGUGAAAUGCGUUGAGAUCGGAAGGAACGCCCGUGGCGAAAGCGAGGUCCUGGACGCCUACUGACGCUGAGACGCGAAAGCCAGGGGAGCGAACGGG
rnacentral:rRNA from 1 species